GACGAACGCUGGCGGCGUGCUUAACACAUGCAAGUCGAACGGAAAGGCCCCCACCAUUUUUGGUGGGGGUGCUCGAGUGGCGAACGGGUGAGUAACACGUGGGUGAUCUGCCCUGUACUUCGGGAUAAGCUUGGGAAACUGGGUCUAAUACCGGAUAGGACCAUGGUUUAGUGUCUCAUGGUGGAAAAAUUAUUGUUUUGGUGCAGGAUGAGCUCGCGGCCUAUCAGCUUGUUGCUGGGGUAAUGGCCUACCAAGGCGUCGACGGGUAGCCGGCCUGAGAGGGUGGACGGCCACAUUGGGACUGAGAUACGGCCCAGACUCCUACGGGAGGCAGCAGUGGGGAAUAUUGCACAAUGGGCGCAAGCCUGAUGCAGCGACGCCGCGUGGGGGAUGACGGCCUUCGGGUUGUAAACUCCUUUCGUUAGGGACGAAGCCACACCUUUUUUG
rnacentral:rRNA from 1 species